rnacentral:rRNA from 1 species
CUCAGGAUGAACGCUAGCGGCGCGCUUAAUGCAUGCAAGUCGAGCGAUGAGACUCCUACGGGAGCACAUCAGCGGCAGACGGGUGAGUAACACGUAGAUGACGUACCCUCAAGACGGGGAUAACGGAUGGAAACAUGCGCUAAUACCGGAUGACCUUACGAUGUCAGAAUGGUAAGGAAAGCUACGGCGCUUGAGGAGCGGUCUGCGGCCCAUCAGCUAGUUGGUAGGGUAAAGGCCUACCAAGGCGAAGACGGGUAGGGGGUGUGAGAGCACGGCCCCCCACGAUGGGACUGAGACACGGCCCAUACUCCUACGGGAGGCAGCAGCAGGGAAUAUUGCACAAUGGACGGAAGUCUGAUGCAGCGACGCCGCGUGAGUGAAGAAGGCCUUCGGGUUGUAAAACUCUUUUGAGGGGGAAGAGCGAGGACGGUACCCCUGGAAUAAGCGUCGGCUAACUACGUGCCAGCAGCCGCGGUAAGACGUAGGACGCGAGCGUUAUCCGGAUUUACUGGGCGUAAAGCGUCUGUAGGCGGAUGUGUAAGUUGGGCGUGAAAGCUCCGGGCUUAACCCGGAGAGGCCGUUCAAUACUGCAUAACUUGAGGGUGUCAGAGGGGAGCGGAAUUCCCGGUGUAGCGGUCAAAUGCGCAGAGAUCGGGAGGAACACCAGUGGCGGAGGCGGUUCCCUGGGGCACACCUGACGCUGAGAGACGAAAGCUAGGGGAGCGAACAGGAUUAGAGACCCUGGUAGUCCUAGCCCUAAACGAUGAAUGCUAGGUGUGGGAUCGAAUGGUUCCGUGCCGGAGCGAACGCGAUA